CUGUGUUCUGAUUGGCUGAGGAAAUCUCAGAUACCAUUGGUCUAAACCUGAAGUCAGCAGCUGACCGUAGCUUCUCAAGGGUCCUUCUGCAGGAUUUUUGGGGUCUUUGGGGUUGAGAGGUGCAGGGGGCUGUUGGAGAGAUUUCUGUCACAAGCGAUCAGAACAGUUGCAUUGCACCCAACAUUGGGGGCUGCACUCCCAGCUCCCAGGCAUGCUAGCAAUUUUCCUGGGCUCUGUCUCGUGCUCUCUGAGGUCCUACGGGGGGGCUAUAUCAUCAACGUAGGGGGUGCCUCAGGCUGUCUGUACUCAGGGCAGUAGGCAGCACACCACAUCACUCUGGCUUUAGAGGAGGGGUGCGUGAAGAUGUUCCCUCAGUUCUCUCCAGCCACAUCCUUCCUUUCCUUUUGUCUUCGUACCUGGACCAAGGAGAACACAAAAACUCCAUGUGCUAAUUGAAGCAAUAUCUUUCAUCAGUAGACCCAGUGGAGCCUCCCAGAAUACUCUGUGCCAUUCUUCUUCCCUCUGUGUCUUGCAGCCAGAGAAGAGUGAGGAUACCAUAUCUUGGGUAUCUUGUCCCACCGUGGAAGUCACCAGAAACGCCCACCACCCACCAUAUUUUUAAUACCUGUGCUGUACUGACCCACUGAGUUUCCAGCUCACUUCAAUAAAGCUUGAGAUGAGACAAGUCCCAAAAUCCAUUAUCUCAGUCCCCUUUGGGAGCAUCUGCUGCCUUCAGGGCUUUAACGAACACAACCCCCCACUUCCAUCAGCAGCCCCUCUGCUUUUACAAAAUGACAGAUGAUACACACCUGCUAAAAUCAGGUUGUUUUGCGUGCAGAGAUUUUCUUUUUUCUUUUUGGCUUAUGUCUAGCUACAUUUCCAGAGCCCUGAGGGAAAGUUGCAAGGGAAUCUCUGGUCAACUCCAUAAUCAUUAUGCCUGAGAGAUAAUGCAGAGACUCUCUCACACCUCUACAGACAUGUUCUGGUGAAGCGCGUUUCCAAGGUGCGAUUCGGUUAAGUUCGUGCUGAACGGAAAGAGGUUGACUCAGAAGUUGAUUUAUCAGAGAGCUGGAAAGAAGCCGGCCCGAGCGGUUGCCAAGGGCCCCAUGCAGAAGUGCUGAAUGUGUAUACCGUAUCACUGUUUAAAAAUGAGCCAACCCAGAAACUCUGGCUUCAAAGAGCUCAGCCUCAAACAGCAGUGGGAAGCAGUCAGGAGAGGCUCCCCUGUGAUCAUGCCACAGAAGGGGUUCUCCUGCCCUCACUGUCAUUCCAGCCACGGCAAAGAGAAGAGCUCCUGCCAGGGCUGGAAGCCUGGUGCUCUGGGAUGGCCAUGCAGGAUGUACAGAGGCCAGAGGGUUUGGGCAGCCGUGAGCCAGAGACCAGGAAACCCUUCCAGUCGUAAUGGAGCUCAAGAACAUUUGUGUGCAUACUUAAUGAAAACUUAAGCACAAUUAUUCUGUUUCCCAAGAAAAUUGAUGAUGAGCAUGUACCUAGCACAAAAUGUUGAUGUUUAUCCAGACACCAUGGGGACCAUGGUCACCGACCACAUGGAAACCUGAAGACGGGAAUCUGCUGAAGAAGCAUCAACAUCCACUGCAAAAGUAGUGAUAAUUUUUAGGAAGUGAUGCCCUAAGUGGGUGACUUAACAUGUGCAGCUCCAGAGAAGUCCAUUUGCACAUCCCUCUGUGGACCAUGACUUUGUUGAACAAGGACAGAGUUUCAGUUUGGGAUGAUAAAAAAAGUUCUGGGGAUGGUUGCACAGCAAUGUGAAUGUAUUUAAUGCCAUUGAAUUAUACCCUUAAAAAUGGUUAAAAUGGUAAAUUUUAUGUAAUGUAUAUUUUACCACAAUAAAAAUGAAUCUUGUUCA